rnacentral:lncRNA from 1 species
UUGAGAUUCACUUCCAUUUAAAGAAAAAUACUUUCUUUUCCAGCAAAGAAUUGCUGCUCUGCAUUUAUUUAAAUUGGUUCAUGAUUUCAUUUCCAUCCUCUUUUCUACUGCUCAAGUGGGAGAAAUCUAGUGAAAGCGUAAUCUAAGGACUAAUGAGCAAACUGCUAAGUGCUGGUUUAGUGAAAGUUGAUUUUUCAGUAUUUCACUGGUUGGAAAAAGUGCACUUUUAAAGAUUUUUACCAAGUGUAUCACUAAUAUUGUGUCAGCUAUUUUCCAGUGAUCUGGAUAUGGCCAGAAGAUUGAAGUUGCAAGGGAAGAGGACGUAACUGAAAUCCUAAACACUCUUCGAGGCCAUUUCCCACCACUGUAAGUACUCUAAAUGAUGGCUGCAAGGUAUGCUUCCAAAAAGAUCAGGAAAUAUACUAAAAUGUGAGUACUGAUUAUUUUUCAGUGAGUAAAUUUUAAGAAAUGAAAAUGCUACUUCCCAUAGCUCAGGGUAAAUAAAUUUAAAAACCUAUACAAAACAGAGAAUUACCUGGGAUAACACAAUUGACCAAAACAAUCAAAAGUGCAACAAGAUAAUUCCCGCAUUUAUUAAGGUAGAAUAACUGGAUUUUUAAAAAGCUCUUCUUUAGAGUCGUUCAACAAAGAUAUUAAGUUCCAGAACUAAACAUCUUGCCUUUUGCAGCAACAUGCACGGAACUAGAGAGUAUUAUGCUCAGUGAAAUAAGUCAAUCAGAAAAGGACAAUUACCAUAUGCUCUCACUCACAUGUGGAAUUUAAGAAACAAAACAGAGGAUCAUAGAGGAAGAGAGAAGAAAAUAAAAGAAGAUGAAAUCAAAGAGGGAUACAAAAUAGAAUUAGAUUUGUUUGUUUCAUGGAAUUUUUCUAGAACUUCUCUAUAAAACAACGUGACAAUCUGAUAAAUGCAUAUAUUGCCAAAUGAUUACCACAAUAAGAAUCAUGGACCUGUCUUCUGAGAUCAUUGAUUAUCUCACAAAAGUUCUUCAGCAAGUCCCUUGAUGUAGACUUAUUUAUGGCAAUCUCUUUAUAUAUAAAUAAAAUAUGUAUUUCAUCUGAAAAUAUGUUUAGUCUGUCUUCCCUUUUGAUUUUUUUUUUUCAGGAAUACAGAAGUUGAAGGUAGUUUUCUCCUAGCCCUUCAAAUGUAUUAUUCCCUGC